rnacentral:SRP_RNA from 1 species
UGCCGGAAUACUCGCAAGAGAUCGCGUGAACCCCGUCAGGCCCGAAAGGGAGCAGCGGUAGCGCUAAAAUCUUUGUGUCGAGUAUUUCGGUAUAU